AUUUUCAGGGAAGAUAAAUCAGCCCAGAGGAAGAUGAACCAGUUCAAAAAAAAGAAAAAACAGAGGGAGGAACACCACAAAUUCAUCAGAAGAGACGUUCAUCAAGCUUCUGAACAUAUGCACCAGAAGAUGCAUCGGAAUGACAGAAGACCCAGCAAAAAUCAUGGGAAUGCAUCGACGAAGCAGAAAAGGUUGAAAUAAGCCACCGGCGACUUCAACUCUUCAGCUUUCUGGUAUAUAUUGCUCGAUCUUGAGAUGAGGAUUAAAAAAUCAAGCACAAGGCCGGGGGUGAAGAGAAAAAUUUAGCAAACAAAAUUCACUUGCUAAAGAAAUAUUGAUCGAUGGAUGAAUCAACAUUGCUUCUGUGAAGUUGUUUUUGAUAGUGGUUCGUUCAAUUUUUAGGUGUGGAUCAUCUAUGUUCAAUGCAAGUGUUGGAAGACUUUCGAAGUACACCUCAACUGUGGUGAAGAGCAGUUGGAAGACUCCAAUUCUUAAACAACACGGAAUGUGUCUCGCAAUAAAUGCUCUCUCUGCUGAGGGGUCAGAAAAUGGAGAAGAAUUCAGGUCUGAUUGGAGAUUGCAGAGGGGUUUGUCGCCCGAUUCUGUCAGAGACACAAACCUGGCCGGAGGGAGCAAGAUGGAGAACGGGACAGAGGGUUGGGACAGGGAAAGGGAACAGAGUAUCCCAACCUCUCUCGCCUCUCUUUCUCUUUGUUCUUUUCAGAGCUUGUCUCUCUACGGAGCUCGCCAUAAAUGCUCUGUUUCUCACAGCCCUAUCUAUAGCUUCUCUUUCUCUUUGUUAUUCUCAGAACUUGUCUCUUCAUUCUUGUUUAUAUACUCCUUCAUAUUUGGCUCUCAGAACUUGUCUCUUCGUUCUUGUUUAUAUACUCCUCCAUAUUUGAUUACAAACACAAUAGCUUGAAAAUCUUCAACUGCUCUUCCAUGGAUGUUGAGGAGAACCCGUUGAGAAGAUGAAGCCGUAAUGUUCUAUGGGUAGAAAAGAAAGCAAGAAUAAAUUCACAGAGAAGAGUUUUGAACUAGAAGAAAGAGAGGAAGAAGAGAAAGUAAAGCAAGGCCAUGCUUUCUUGUGUGGUUUUGAAGAUGAUCGGUUCGAUAAUGUUCUGAUCAGUAUUUUAGAAAAAGAAAUUGAGGAGGAAGCUCUCCAUCUUAAGAGAAUGCGUUUGCUAACGCAUUCUACUUUUCUGAGAACAUAUUUUUUGGAAAAACUAAAUCGCCAAAAAUGCAUCUCCAUCACCGAAAGAAUUCCACUACCGUUUCGAAAGUGGGUUAAAUACCCGACUAUUGAAAAGGUGGGUAUUUGACUCAUCUGGUCUGAAGGUCUUGGGUUUCAUCGAUGAUGUUUGCUCUCUUUUUAAGUAAGUUUCAUUUCAUUUCUAUUAAAUUUACCUUUGAUAUCUUU